CAUAUAUUAUAAAAACUAAAGAAAAUAAACAAUAUACAGCCAUAUCUUACUUUUUGAAGGGUUAAGAUGUAUAUUAAUUAUUUAUUUUUUUUAGUUUUAUAAUAUGCAUCAGGAAUACAUUUUUGAAUAAUGUGACACAUAUUUAAACAAUGCAAAUCAAAAUGUAGUUUUUAUGAGAAACUGUUGAAAUAUGGAUAAUAAGGAACUGGCACUACUAUUUUCCAGAAAUAGAAAAGAUGAGAAUGGUAUCCACAGUAUGUACAGUAGGAAGUAAGUACUUCCUACUUGAAGCAAUAACUGAACAAUGCAUUAGCUCUGCAUUGCUGCUACUAAAACGAAGAAGAGUAUUCUCUCAUGAUAUAAAGAGUAAGAGUUGUAAUGAUGCAUAUAUCUCUUCUGCUAGCUACCACUUUGAUGGUGUAAAGUCUAGUCAAACAUCUUAGCAUUGUAAAUUUUAUAAAAUAAGUAAGAAAAUGAUUCAUUUAGAUGAAAAUAUAGCUAAUGUAAUUUAUCUGAAAAAUUUUCAUUAUAUUAUAUUGUAUGGUAUUUUGUUGCAUUAACAGCAUUAAAGAAAACAUCAAGAAUAUAAUUUUACCAGUUCCCUAAAGAUGGUGAUGGUGGAUAAUGGAUCUCAUUUUUAUUUAUGCAUUGUUCCACCAACAAUGAGUUGAAACAAACUGGGAAUGAUAACCAAAUCACAUAAUGUGAGUCACAAUGCUGCUUAAGAAAAAGAUUCCCAAGCAAUGCAAAUGCAAAAUUUUAUGACUCAAAGUGAAAUGUUGUCUUAAUUGUUUUACAAUGUAACUUUGGAAAAAUGCAAAUUGAAAUGAUGCAAAGGUAUGGUCUGGAUGUAUCAGGAUUAUCAUUUUGUUGGAUAUGCUUAUUUUAUAGCCAAUUAAGCCAUGAAUUCCAAACCUUCAGAAAUAUACAGAAUAUAAUUUUUAGAAAAAUAUAUUAAGAUUCAGAAAAUAUAAUUUUAUAUGAAUAUAUCAGGC
rnacentral:lncRNA from 1 species